UGAUUUUGUAAUAUCACUUAUUGAGAUAUUUGAUUUCACCCCUCAUAUCACCCUCUAGCUACUGAAGAUACUGUUGCAGAGUGAACAGUUAUACGGAGAAAAGUUUUAAAGUUAGACUCUAAUAUUAAGGUUAUUUGUAGCACCCGGAAAGGAGGAGAGAAAAAAAAAAAAAAAAAAAAAAAAGGGCCACGUCAGCAGCCACGUCAGCAGCCGCGUCAGCAGCCACGUCAGCAGUCCCGGCCAACCAGGGCCUGCCACGUGGCAAGAU
rnacentral:lncRNA from 1 species